AGCAGCCGCCGCGGUAAUACGGAGGGAGCUAGCGUUGUUCGGGAUUACUGGGCGUAAAGCGCGCGUAGGCGGUUACUCAAGUCAGAGGUGAAAGCCCGGGGCUCAACCCCGGAACUGCCUUUGAAACUAGGUGACUAGAAUCUUGGAGAGGUCAGUGGAAUUCCGAGUGUAGAGGUGAAAUUCGUAGAUAUUCGGAAGAACACCAGUGGCGAAGGCGACUGACUGGACAAGUAUUGACGCUGAGGUGCGAAAGCGUGGGGAGCAAACAGGAUUAGAUACCCGGGUAGUCCCUGUCUCUUAUAC
rnacentral:rRNA from 1 species